rnacentral:tRNA from 1 species
CUCCCUGUGGCUCAGUUGGUAGAGCAUGGUGUUUGCAACGCCGUGGUUGUGGGUUCGAUUCCCACGGGGGGC